rnacentral:rRNA from 1 species
GUCUACGGCCAUACCACCCUGAACGUGCCCCAUCUCAUCUGAUCUCGGAAGCUAAACAGGGUCGGGCCUGGUUAGUACUUGGAUAGGAGAAAUCUACAAAUAUUGGCACUUCUCAAUU